rnacentral:rRNA from 1 species
AGCCUGAUGCGCCAUGCCGCGGUGUGAAGAAGGCCUUCGGGUUGUAAAGCACUUUCAGUCGUGAGGAAGGUGGUGUAGUUAAUAGCUGUAUCAUUUGACGUUAGCGACAGAAGAAGCACCGGCUAACUCCGUGCCAGCAGCCGCGGUAAUACGGAGGGUGCGAGCGUUAAUCGGAAUUACUGGGCGUAAAGCGCAUGCAGGUGGUUUGUUAAGUCAGAUGUGAAAGCCCGGGGCUCAACCUCGGAAUAGCAUUUGAAACUGGCAGACUAGAGUACUGUAGAGGGGGGUAGAAUUUCAGGUGUAGCGGUGAAAUGCGUAGAGAUCUGAAGGAAUACCGGUGGCGAAGGCGGCCCCCUGGACAGAUACUGACACUCAGAUGCGAAAGCGUGGGGAGCAAACAGGAUUAGAUACCCUGGUAGUCCACGCCGUAAACGAUGUCUACUUGGAGGUUGUGGCCUUGAGCCGUGGCUUUCGGAGCUAACGCGUUAAGUAGACCGCCUGGGGAGUACGGUCGCAAGAUUAAAACUCAAAUGAAUUGACGGGGGCCCGCACAAGCGGUGGAGCAUGUGGUUUAAUUCGAUGCAACGCGAAGAACCUUACCUACUCUUGACAUCCAGAGAACUUUCCAGAGAUGGAUUGGUGCCUUCGGGAACUCUGAGACAGGUGCUGCAUGGCUGUCGUCAGCUCGUGUUGUGAAAUGUUGGGUUAAGUCCCGCAACGAGCGCAACCCUUAUCCUUGUUUGCCAGCGAGUAAUGUCGGGAACUCCAGGGAGACUGCCGGUGAUAAACCGGAGGAAGGUGGGGACGACGUCAAGUCAUCAUGGCCCUUACGAGUAGGGCUACACACGUGCUACAAUGGCGCAUACAGAGGGCAGCAAGCUAGCGAUAGUGAGCGAAUCCCAAAAAGUGCGUCGUAGUCCGGAUUGGAGUCUGCAACUCGACUCCAUGAAGUCGGAAUCGCUAGUAAUCGUGGAUCAGAAUGCCACGGUGAAUACGUUCCCGGGCCUUGUACACACCGCCCGUCACACCAUGGGGAGUGGGCUGCAAAAGAAGUAGGUAGUUUAACCUUCGGGAGGACGCUUACCACUUUGUGGUUCAUGACUGGGGUGAAUCGUAA